rnacentral:rRNA from 1 species
UAGUCCACGCUGUAAACGAUGUCGACUUGGAGGUUGUGCCCUNGAGGCGUGGCUUCCGGAGCUAACGCGUUAAGUCGACCGCCUGGGGAGUACGGCCGCAAGGUUAAAACUCAAAUGAAUUGACGGGGGCCCGCACAAGCGGUGGAGCAUGUGGUUUAAUUCGAUGCAACGCGAAGAACCUUACCUACUCUUGACAUCCACGGAACUUGCCAGAGAUGGCUUGGUGCCUUCGGGAACCGUGAGACAGGUGCUGCAUGGCUGUCGUCAGCUCGUGUUGUGAAAUGUUGGGUUAAGUCCCGCAACGAGCGCAACCCUUAUCCUUUGUUGCCAGCACUUCGGGUGGGAACUCAAAGGAGACUGCCGGUGAUAAACCGGAGGAAGGUGGGGAUGACGUCAAGUCAUCAUGGCCCUUACGAGUAGGGCUACACACGUGCUACAAUGGCGUAUACAAAGAGAAGCAAACUCGCGAGAGCCAGCGGACCUCAUAAAGUACGUCGUAGUCCGGAUUGGAGUCUGCAACUCGACUCCAUGAAGUCGGAAUCGCUAGUAAUCGUAGAUCAGAAUGCUACGGUGAAUACGUUCCCGGGCCUUGUACACACCGCCCGUCACACCAUGGGAGUGGGUUGCAAAAGAAGUAGGUAGCUUAACCUUCGGGAGGGCGCUUACCACUUUGUGAUUCAUGACUGGGGUG